CAGGGAGACAAACAACGAUUUUGAUGCCUGAGUACUUUUAUUCUUAGGCCGAAAUCCUGUCACCUUAGGUCGAUCGGUACCUCAACUUCAAUGGUCAGAGAGCUUGCUCUGCUGGUUCAUUGAUUUUUAGUUCCUAAACGUUGUCUAGGUCACCCCAUAGAGGGUUCACUUCCUGGGCCAUUAGCUCAGGUGGUUAGAGCGCCACCCCUGAUAAGGGUGAGGUCCUUGGUUCCAAGUCCAGGAUGGCCCAUUCCAAAAUCCAUUUUGGAUCAUUUGGGGGUUUAGCUCAGUUGGUAGAGCGCUGCUUUGCAAGCAGGAUGUCAGCGGUUCGAGUCCGCUAACCUCCACUAACACUACUGAACUCUAAGCCAGGAAGAGCUUCUUGGUUGGUGACUAGACGUUGUUCGCACAGAAUCCACUGGUUAGUCCAGUCGUAUUCAGCCUCAGCUCAUGUCUGAUAACAGAUUGAGCUGAUGCUGAAUUCACUCCUGAAAGGGAGAGGAUUUAGCAGAACCUUGACAACUGCAUAGGUGAGUUUGGAAAGACAAAAGCAUCUCAUAGAGAUCAGAACGUCUUUCGCCGCAAGGCGAUUGAUGAACUGAUUAUUCUAUUUUUGAGAGCCGAGACCUUCUAGCGUUCUUCCCAAUCCGCCGAGGAGCGGGGAGUUUGAUCCUUGUUUCUAACUGGAGCAGCAAUGCUUUAAGAGAAACUUGAGAGAAUGGGCCUCAACAGCCUGAAGCGUUAGGAGGAUUAAU
rnacentral:tRNA from 1 species